GGUCUCGUGGCUGAGUGGUUAAGCACUUGCAGUUUCAGAUGGCGCUGAAUGGAUUACGCAAGCUUACGCCUGUUCGAACCAGGUCGGGUCCA